GUUGUGCUGCCUGAGUGGGCGGGGCGUUGGGCACUUCCGCCGCGUGCUGAUGUUGAGACCGAGUGGAACCUUUAAAGUAUCCAGCGGGAGUAGCCGUGGGUUCAGGCUGCUUGUCCACCGGCUGCCGGUAAACUGGAACCGCGUCCUCCGCUGCCCUGCCUCUCAGCCCAGGAGAUUUUGUGAUCAUUUACCAUUUCCCACUCUAAGAGGUGUUCUUACUGCGGCUCUCACAAAACGGACUUUGGUUACUAUCAGUCCGCCAACCUGGUGCAGUACGAUGCCAUUAGAUGCCAAAUACCGAUUCUUGUUGCUUUAUGCCACUGAAAAAGGACAAGCAAAAGCAAUUGCUGAAGAAAUUACUGAAAAUGCAGAUGGAAAAGGAUUUGUAGCUGAUCUACAUUGUCUAAGCCAAAUGGAAGAGUUUAACUUGGAGAAAGAACAUGCUCCAGUUGUUAUAAUUACCUCCACGACUGGUAGUGGGGAGCUCCCAGAGACAGCAAAGCAGUUUUUCCAGGAAGUUAGUGGCAUCUCAGCACCUCAUCAUUAUGCACACAUAAAAUAUGCAGUAUUAGCUCUUGGAGACUCAAGUUACACAUUUUUUGCCAAUGGUGGGAAGAUGAUUGACGAGCAGCUUCAGCGGCUUGGUGCAGUUCACUUCUAUGCGACUGGAUAUGCAGAUGAUAGUGUAGGGUUGGAGUUGGUUGUCAGUCCUUGGACUGAUGGUCUUUGGGAUGCCUUGAAGAGCGCAUGUCACAAGCGUGUAGAAAGGAACAGUGAUGGAGAGGGAAUGUCUGAAACAACUGAUGGUUCAGGGAUAAGUAAACUUCAUGCCAGCGAUCCUGGUCUUUCAUCAGAAAUGAAAUUAUUGAAAUUAGAUGCAACCGUUUCAGCAGAGGUUGACAAUUCAACUACCACACCUGAGAACUUGGAACAGAGCACAUUGGUGGCAGGAUCACGGGAGUAUUUACCAGGGCCAGCCUGGGUACGCUCUGAGAAACCACUGUCAGAAGCUCCUCUGAAUAUCCCUACCCUGCCAAUAGAGUAUCUCAAUGUGGAAUUUCAGAAGUGUACAGAACAGGAUUCUUCGCAAGAAUGUUUCUCCCUUGUACCAGGCUCCAAUGUGUUUCGGGUACCAGUGACCAAAGCAAUUACUCUGACCCGGGAGGACGCAGUGAAAACUGCACUACUCAUAGAACUUGAUAUUUCUAAUACAUCAAUAACAUAUGAGCCUGGUGAUGCUUUCAGUGUUAUAUGUCCUAAUUGUGAAAGUGAAGUGGAAUACCUAAUUCAAAGGCUUGGGCUUGGAGACAAGAGAGACCACAUUGUUGAUUUCUACAUCCAACCAAACACCAAGAAAAAAGGUGCACACCUGCCCAAUUACAUACCAAAAAGCAGAACACUGCAGUUCACUCUGACUUGGUGCCUGGAAAUACGAGCAGUUCCUAAAAAGGCCUUUUUGCGAGCAUUAGUUGAGUACACAUCUGACCCGAGUGAGAAACGGCGAUUGCAAGAACUAUGCAGCAAACAGGGUGCAGCAGACUACAACCAGUAUAUCAGAGACUUCAAUGUUUGCCUGCUUGAUAUCCUGAGAUCAGUUCCAUCAUGCCAUCCACCAUUUAGCCUACUUGUAGAACACUUACCAAAGCUGCAAGCUCGAUCUUAUUCAGCUGCAAGCUCAUCCAAAUAUUAUCCUGGGAAGCUUCAUUUUGUUUUUAACAUUGUUGAGUUUCCAUCUUCGGCUGUGCAGCCUACCGCCCGGCGAGGAGUUUGCACAGGUUGGCUGGCACAGCAGGUAGCUCCAGGGCUUCAGAGCUAUGACAGUGAAGCUGCAAUUGCCGACUGUUCAUCGGAUAGGUUUGCAACAACACAGAUUUCCAUUUUCAGUCGGCAGAACACAUUUUUCCAUCUACCCUCUGAUACUGCAGUUCCUAUCAUCAUGGUGGGGCCUGGAACUGGCGUUUCUCCCUUCAUAGGUUUCUUGCAACACCGACAAAAACAAAGAGAAGAGAAUCCUAAGUGUACUUUUGGAGAAACCUGGCUAUUCUAUGGCUGCCGGCAUUGUGAUCGAGACUAUCUGUUUCGAAAAGAAUUACAAGAUUUUCUAAGUAAUGGCACUUUAACGCAACUGAAAGUCUGUUUCUCAAGAGAGGUGACAGAUGGAAAACCAAAAUAUGUUCAACAUUUACUCCAGCACUUAGCCCAUGAUGUCGCAAAAGUUUUGCUGAAUGAACGUGGCUAUAUGUAUGUUUGUGGAGAUGGCAAGAAUAUGGCUAAAGAUGUGACUACCGCUCUGACUGAAAUUAUAUCCAAAGAGCUGGGAGUGAAUACUCUAGAAGCCAUGAGAGUUGUAGCCAACCUGUGUGAAGAGAAGCGCUACUUGCAGGAUGUCUGGAGUUGAAUGAGCCUUGAGAAGAGGAUUCAAAACCAGUUGCAUGUCUUUAUUUAAGAUAUUUGCAAAGACAUGAGACAUUUUUAACCAGUGAUAAGUCUAGGGGAACAAAUUGGAAAGACUAUUCUUUUAGGCGAGAUGUUUGGAUUUUUUUUUCCAGCACAGGCCGUGUUGAAAACAUUAAACAUAAUGGUGAUGUCCCUCUGUUGAAGAACACUAUGUUGACAGAAGAAAUGAUGAUAGCUUGUCAAACAUCUUUCUGUGAAAUGCUCUUCCAGAUGCAGGCACUUCUUGAAAGAGUUGUUGGUGAUUAUUUUUCUGCUUUUUGAUGGAUUACCCCAUAAAACAGCAAUUUUUCUUCACAUGUGUAACUGAAUGGUAUAUUUGAUAAAAAUCAAUGCAAGUUGUAAUAUUUAUUUAUUCAAGUUUUAAGAUGUGUCAUUUGAAACCAUUUAAUUAGUAAGUUAUAGUUGUAGGCAACACAACUGUAAUUAAAAACUCCAGCACUUUCAGUACAUUUAUACCAUGACAUACAAAUUUCAGUUUUAGAAAUUCUCAGGAAUAGUCGUGGACCAUUGUUUUCCCACAUUUCAUCAUUCUAUUUAUCAUGCUGUCAUUUUUUCUGUCUUUAAGUUAGAUACGAAGUAUGUUUUUUUUAAACAUCAAGGACAUUACACUUUCACCACUUGACUCAAUAUUGCUAUUGAAUCAUACAGCAUGGAAACAGCACACGUUUCCUAUGUCAGCUGUGUUGCUUAUCAACAUUAAUUCCAUUUGCCUGUAUUCCUCUAUGCCUGUCCUGUCUUUUAAAAGUUAUAAUGGUAUCUGCACCUACUACUGUCUUUAGCAUCUCUGUCCAUCUCUGUAUGGGAAAACCCUAUUGGUAUCAGAUAUCUUUUAAAUUUCUCUCCUUUUUUUUAUUGUGCUCUCUAGUUCUAGACUCACCUGCUGUGAGAAAGAUUCUGAUUAUAUAUCCUAUCUAUGCUCCUCAACAUUUUCAUUUCUUCGUUAUGUGCCGUAUCACAUGGCGUGGGUGACCAUGGUCUUUCCAUGACCAAGAUCUUUCUUGGGAGAUUUUUCUCUAGAAGUGGUUGGCCAUUGCUACCCUCUGGGCAGUGUGUUUACAAGAUGGGUGACCCCAGCCAUUAUCAAUACUCUUCAGAGAUCGUCUGCCUGGCAGUAGUGGUCACGUAACCAGGACUUGUGGUUAUGCACCAGCUGCUCAUAUGACCAUUGACCACCUGUUCCCAUGGCUUCAUGUGACCCUGAUCAGGUUGGGGGGUGGGCGGUGCUAAGCAGGUGCUGCACCUUACCCAAGGGUGACCUGCAGGCUAACAGAGGAAAGAAGUGUUGAUAGAGAUGUGUCUCCACCCUCAUAAUUUUAUAAACCUCUAUAACAUCAGCGAUCACCUUCCUUUGUUCCAGUGAAGAUAAACUCAGCCUAUCCCAUCUCUCCUCAUAACUACAGCCCCCAAUUUCAGGCAAUGUCCCGUUGAAUCUCUUUUGUUUUCUCUCUUUUGCUACCACACCCUUGCUGCAGUGUGGCAGUCUUACACAGUGCUCCAAGUGCAGUCCAAUCAAUAUUUUGGAUUGUAAGACAUGCCAAUUGUUGAAUUCAAUGCCUUGCCUAUGAAGGCAAGCAUGCCAUAUGGCGUCUUUACUAUCCUAUCCACCAGCGUUGCUACCUUCAGCACACUGUAGACUUGCACCCCAAAAUUCUCUGCAUCAGUGCUCUGUUUACUCUUGUGCCCAUCAGAUUUUACUGCAUGAUGAAAUUCCAUCUGCCGCCAUUUCGCCCAAUGUCCUGAGAUAGCCUUCACUAUCAAUAACACCAUCAAUUUUCAUGUUAUCAGUCCAUCUAAAUUUUCAUCCAUGUCAUUUAUAUCUGUUAGAAACAGCACAGGUCCCAGCACGGAUCACUGUGGUCCAUCUGGUUACAGAUUUCCAUUAAGGAAACAUAAACAUCCACCACUACUGUCUGCCUCCUAUCACCACGCCAAGUUUGGACUCAGUUUGCCAACACACCUUGGGUUCAUCAUACCUUCACCUUUUGGACCAGCCUGCCAUGUGGGAUCUUGUCGAAUGCCGUGCAAACUAUGUCUACUGCUCUGCCUUUACCAAUUUUCUUAGCCACUUGCUCAAAAAACUUUUUCCGAUUUGUGGGACCUAAUUUCUUCCACAUAAACCUAUGCUGUGCACAGAACAAAACUAUACUUCUCUGACAAACUUCCAUGCUAUUUAUGCAAAGCUCACAGGUCUAUAUUUUAGAAGGGCUUGUAUCUAUUGCCCUUCUUGAAUAAGGAAACGAUAUUGGGUAUCUAGCUUCUGUGAUCUGUGAAAUUUAUCAUAUUAUCUUGUACUUCUCUUUGCGCAGGGAGGCUAUUUGGCCAAUUGAAUCAAUGCUAUCUCACAAUAUUCGCAUUAGUGUUGUUCCCACACUUACUUAUCUUGAAUCAGCUCUCCACUGAUUGUCCUGCUGUGCAGCUGGACAAGAGCUAAUUUGGAGGAUACUGGAGCACUUGUGGAAAUCCACGCGUUGCAAGGAGAACAUGCAAACUCUGCAUGGACUGCACCAAGCAUCAGGAUUAAACCCAAGGUCCCUGGAGCAGUGAGUCGUGAAGGUAUUUGGGCAACAAGCUUGAUGAGCUCAAGAGAAGUGUACAGGAAUGAGGAAACCUCUAAUGAUUAGAAAGUAAAUAGCAACACAUAGAUCAUGGAAGCAAUUCAGAAUUCAAACUGUUAUCACAGCCUGGAAUUUCCAGCCAUUAGUUAAAGAACAGCUACUAACAUAAUGUAAACUGGCUUAUAAGCAGCAAACAACAGGAAUUCUGCAGAUGCUGGAAAUUCAAGCAACAUACAUCAAAGUUGCUGGUGAACGCAGCAGGCCAAGCAGCAUCUAUAGGAAGAGGUGCAGUCGACGUUUCAGGCCGAGACCCUUCGUCAGGACUAAGCAGCAAUGUCAUUUUUGCCGCCUUUGGAAGAGAUGGGAUGCACACAAGCAAGUGAAGACCUUCUGUGGCUCUUCAGCCAGUCUUCACUGAGAAACCUGAUACUGUCAUCUUUUUCAGGGCUGUAGGUGGGAAUCUCAACUGUGAUUUUCAGUAGCUGAAUUAUAAUUCUGCACAUUAGUAGUACGUAGAGAAGGCUGCAGUCUAUACUCUGGUGCUUGUCCUCCAGAUUUGAGGCGGGCGUUUACACUUCACGCAGCCCACAGGAAACGACAGGGAUAACCCAUUGAUAAAGUUUGAUGGGAACCUGUUACACUCAUUGAAAAUUUAAAUUUGAUCUGUAAGCAUUGCUCAGGUUUGUAUAGAAAGUAGAGGCGAGGUGAGGCUUCCUUUUUAUAAUAUCUGGGUGGUUUUGCUUCUUCAGGGCUUUCAGCAUGUCUCUGAGUGGGCUCAGAAGCAAGACCAUUGCCCCAGUGACUGUAGUGGAGUAAGGAGUAGAAGGGCUCUGCCUAGACAAUUCCAUCCAAUAAUACUUCAAUCUCCACCUAGUCUUCCAUCUUUCCAGAGGAUGGAUGUUCAAAGGAAGUGGUUAUUGCAAGGUGCUGCAGUAACUGCAUUGCAUGUCACCCUGAAGCCCACAGUAGACCUAAAAUCCAGAUCAUUGCAAUGUAAUUUAUUCCAUAUUUUGCAGUUUGCAACCUAUAUUUUCCAGUGGAAUUUGAAGCUUAUCACUGAGCACUUGAGGCCAGAACAUUAGUUUUAAGCAUGAGCGGCAAGUGAGAUAGAGAGGGCAAGAAUGGUUGAAUUAAGGGAGGGAAAUAAGACAUAUAAAUAUAAAAAUUUUGUAUUUCUAGCACUAAUUAAAUUCUGAAAGAGUAAGACUCAUCAACCCCAGAGGGGUUGAUUGGCAAUAAUUAACACUUAACUGUCCUGUGAAUAAUACCUUUUCACCUGUAUGGUCGAUUGAUUUCCCAAUGGGUAAUUAUUGAUAUUUCACAACUUUAUUCAAAGUUUUGCUGUUUUUAGCCUGACAUAAAGCUCUCUAUCGAUUGUGAAUAAUUUGUUGAGUGAAAACUUUACAAAAGUGUUGAGAUAUUUUCCAUUUGUUCCUGAAUAAUUGCAUUAGAUGGGGCAAUGAAGGCUGGACACAUCUCCAAGAAAAGGAGAGGUGAUGGAAGUAAAUGCCUAAAAUCUUGC